AUGAACUUUCAGUUAGGUUCAGGUCUGAGCAGCGUUUGUAGAUACACCAAGUUCGGUGGUCGUAGUUCUCUUUGUCCAAAUUUUCGAGAGCAUUGCGGCUGUCCUGAACUUGUUUGGGUGCUGCUGUUAUAUCAGUUCGGUGUGGCGGAAUUCUCCGGGUUUCUAAGAUGGUUUGGCUUUCAGUUUUGCUUUGAUGUUAUCUUUUGGUUGGUUCAUCUCAGUUUUAGACUUGGUGGUACCAUUGGAGUUGUUUAA